UAUAUAAAGCGGCCAUUACACGCGCAGCGUAGGCAUUGGCUUAGUCUUCUUUAAGAUGUGAGGAGGGUAUUUUGCUCGGUAGUUUCAAAUCCUUUGUGUGCACUUUUGUGUGAAUUUCUUCUGUUUUGUUCUACAACAAACACGAGCCGGAUACAGUCUCACCGUUUGAGAUGGCAUUGGGACAGGCGGAGGGAGUUGGUGUUCGCAACGAUGCUGAAGCGUACCGCACGAUCGAGGACCCCAUGUUCUCUAGUCUCUACGCCUUUCAUUGGUUUGGCAAGAGACCCGCACAUGCGUCCAGGCUGUUGGCCGUCAUCGGCGACAUUAUUUGGCCUGUCUGUGUAUGAGAUAAGGAGUGACAAGAGAGGAUUGGUAUGGGAUAAACAAAGGGGAAAAGUCUUUGUUUUUAGAAAAUCGUGCAUGAAGUUUUCUGGCUGACGAAUGGGUUACACCAUGAUCAAGUUGUACAUAAACGUCUCAUCACUCCGCGCUUCCGUAUCUUGAACAUGCAAGCAUCAACUAAUUCCAAAAUCGUCUGACGCGCGAUACUCAUAGGCUUAUUGUGACCAACUACAGCAAAUUGUAGCAAAUCAUAUUUGGUGAGCUCUAAUCCCUUUUGUUCGUUAUCUGUGCAAAUGUGUUUUCUCAGGUCCGGAAAAGUUUUUUCAACAUUUGUACCACCAAGUUGUAUGUGAGUUACUUUGGCUUAUCAAUAUGCCUUGUUCAAAGUUGAGCAAGCUGAAUACUGUCACAGCUCUCUAUCUUCCCAUUUGAAUUAAGAUAAUAAGAGCUUUUUGAGGUAUGGAGUAAAUUGAAUGCAUCUUUGUUGAGUCUAGAUGAUCCAGAAUGGCGAACUACCGCAAGUAGCACAACUAAUCGAAAUAAUAGACAUGCGCAUAUAUGAAAUAUGUUUAAUAUGGAUAGGAAAUUAUUUUGAAAUUUAACAAUCAUUGCAAUAAAUAUGUCGGUUCGGAAGUCA